AGGACGAACGCUGGCGGCGUGCUUAACACAUGCAAGUCGAACGAGGCCCUCUCUUCGGAGGGGUGUUCUAGUGGCGAACGGGUGAGUAACACGUGGGCAACCUGCCCCUAGCACUGGGAUAACCCCGGGAAACCGGAGCUAAUACCAGAUAUGACCACGGACGGCAUCAUCUCGUGGUGGAAAGAUUUAUCGGCUAGGGGAUGGGCCCCGCGGCCUAUCAGCUUGUUGGUGGGGUAACGCCUACCAAGGCGACGACGGGUA
rnacentral:rRNA from 1 species